GGUGGGCGUGACCCAUGUGGUGGUGUCCUACCUGCCCAAGAUGGCUGCCUGCGAGCUGCUGAAGGUGGUCUACUGCCUGAGUCUGCUGGGCCACUUCCCCGCCGCCCCACUAGAACAGCUGCUGCAGCAGGAGACACUGGAGGAGAUCAGUGCCAGAGGUGGGCGGCUGCAGAAGGGGAUGGCUGCAGAUAGUGGACCUGUGUCUCAGGCUGGACCGACCUUCUCUCCCUAAGCCCCUGACCGUCCCUCCCGAGGCACUGGGCUCUCCAGCCCCUAACGACGUGUCCAUUAACCCAGGGCUGUCUAUGACCCUGCAGARCAUCACCCAGGAGUGCUGCUACAGGAGGGUGUGAUGGUCAAAGACCUAUACUUCAUAGAAUUGCAGUAUUCUGCGUACCCCCGAUCUCUUUCUGUUAUGGUAGCUCCCGUCCCCAUGGCAACCUGGCUAUCAAGAUGCGUCAUUUGGCGAUCCUAGGAUACACCCCAGUCGUGGUGUCGGAGCACGGGCUGGACUAUCUGUCCGAGGAGGAGAGGACAGAGCUCCUCAGAACACGGAUCUUUCCAGAACAGGAGAGACCUGAUAAAGUCGAUCAAAUGACAGACAGACGGACAUGGAGAGAGGGGGGACAUGGCUCAUUCAGUCAAGAGAACCUCGGCCUGGUUCUGUGGUCAGUCUUGUCACGAUCCGGUCCUGUCAUUCGUUGCACAGGAACUGCUGGUAUACUGAAUUGACUACAUGAGGACUGUUGUCGAAAAUAUCUCUGUGUGAGUGUCUGGACUAUACAGUUAACUGCAUAAUGUCUCACUAUUUAACUAGAAAGUAAAUGGGAACCAACUCCCAUCUGUGUCAUUGAUCCUCGUAUUUGUGAGGGAAUCUGUGUUGGAGCGUAAAUGUUCCAGUUUAAGUAAGUUAAAUCCUGUUGAAGUAACUUUAAAGUUAAGUAACAUAAAUUUAAACAUCUUAAUACCUCGCAUGGGUUAUUCCUAAAUAGUCUAAAUUCAUAUCCUCACCUCCCCUCCUUCAUCUGCACUGAUCUGCAAGAACUGACCAGCCUAAUCAGUGCAGAUGAAGGAAAGGAGAUGAGGAGAAGAAGCUACUCUAGACUAUUGAGGCAGAGAGCCAUGUUUCUACUGGGUUUGUGUGUCUCGUUUAGAAUAAGUUGUCACUUGAGAUGAAUCUGUGGCCUUGCCAAAAGUGAGGCCCAAUCCUAAAUGGACCCCUAGACCUUACACCCUGUGGAGAUUGGAUAUGAUUUGAUGGGUUUAAGGAAUAACGUGAAACUUCAACCUAGCCUACCAGAGGGCCAGUUGGAAUGAAUUACCAAAUUGCUUACACCCGUUAAAUCCUCUUAGAUCUCAAGUGCAUAGGGUGAGGGUCUAGGGGUUGAUUUGGGAUUGGGCCUGAAAUUGUUCAGAUUGAUGCCAUUGAAAUGUGUUGAGUAGAGGUGGUUAUGCGAACUGAUGUUAUAAUAAAAAUUGCCUUAUAAUCAUGACUGUCACUUAAACUGAAAAUAGAAUGUCAUAGAAGCAGUCUUCCACUAUAUAC